rnacentral:rRNA from 1 species
AUGAAGCCGCUUCGGUGGUGGAUUAGUGGCGAACGGGUGAGUAACACGUGGGCAAUCUGCCCUUCACUCUGGGACAAGCCCUGGAAACGGGGUCUAAUACCGGAUAACACUCCUGCCUGCAUGGGUGGGGGUUGAAAGCUCCGGCGGUGAAGGAUGAGCCCGCGGCCUAUCAGCUUGUUGGUGGGGUAAUGGCCUACCAAGGCGACGACGGGUAGCCGGCCUGAGAGGGCGACCGGCCACACUGGGACUGAGACACGGCCCAGACUCCUACGGGAGGCAGCAGUGGGGAAUAUUGCACAAUGGGCGAAAGCCUGAUGCAGCGACGCCGCGUGAGGGAUGACGGCCUUCGGGUUGUAAACCUCUUUCAGCAGGGAAGAAGCGCAAGUGACGGUACCUGCAGAAGAAGCGCCGGCUAACUACGUGCCAGCAGCCGCGGUAAUACGUAGGGCGCAAGCGUUGUCCGGAAUUAUUGGGCGUAAAGAGCUCGUAGGCGGCUUGUCACGUCGGAUGUGAAAGCCCGGGGCUUAACCCCGGGUCUGCAUUCGAUACGGGCUAGCUAGAGUGUGGUAGGGGAGAUCGGAAUUCCUGGUGUAGCGGUGAAAUGCGCAGAUAUCAGGAGGAACACCGGUGGCGAAGGCGGAUCUCUGGGCCAUUACUGACGCUUAGGAGCGAAAGCGUGGGGAGCGAACAGGAUUAGAUACCCUGGUAGU